CACAUCUAGGAUGUGUCAUGAGCGUGCAGGAAGCCAGUUGAGGGUCCAUGCAUUCUUCUCAUCUGGCCCACAAUAAUCAAGGCCCGUCCUGGAGGUGACCAGGCAGGGUGCCUUUCUCCUGUGGACAUGCCACCUGAAACUGUAAACCUUUGCCUUUGUCUUGCCUUGGCUGGGCCCGAGGCUGACCACACUCUCAUGUAUAUAGAGCUUUUCUUCACAAAGGCCAUAGGGAAAUCUCAUGAGAUUUCACCUGCAUGGCCGAGAGGGAGUCAGGGAAAGAGGGGGAAUGAUGGUCAUUUCUAGUCUUCAUAGAACUAGGGAAGGGUCUCUCCUGUGUUUGAAGAAAUGAAGAAAUCCUAGGACCGUCUCCCAGUAGUCCCAGGCCCUGUUAGCAAAUCCACCUUAGGGGAUCCUUUGCUCAUCCUGAGAAUGACCACAGCUGCUGGUCCAAUAUCAGGGAAAUUCAAGGGACGACCUGAGAUAAGACUACAACACCUUCUCCCUUCCCAGCUAAACACACACACACACGCGUGCGUGCGCACAUAUACACAAACACUACUACCACACACAAACAUAGACACUACAAAAACACACCACACAUAAAACCC
rnacentral:lncRNA from 1 species